rnacentral:rRNA from 1 species
CGGUGCACUUAGCAGAGAUGCUUUGGUGCCUUCGGGAACUCUGAGACAGGUGCUGCAUGGCUGUCGUCAGCUCGUGUUGUGAAAUGUUGGGUUAAGUCCCGCAACGAGCGCAACCCUUAUCCUUUGUUGCCAGCGGUUAGGCCGGGAACUCAAAGGAGACUGCCAGUGAUAAACUGGAGGAAGGUGGGGAUGACGUCAAGUCAUCAUGGCCCUUACGAGUAGGGCUACACACGUGCUACAAUGGCGCAUACAAAGAGAAGCGACCUCGCGAGAGCAAGCGGACCUCAUAAAGUGCGUCGUAGUCCGGAUUGGAGUCUGCAACUCGACUCCAUGAAGUCGGAAUCGCUAGUAAUCGUGGAUCAGAAUGCCACGGUGAAUACGUUCCCGGGUCUUGUACACACCGA